CAGAUACAGCUGCAAACACGUCCCGUUUCAUUGUGGGAGGAGUCCCUGCUCAUUUGGAGGCCAUGCCCAUGGCCAUGCGCCCACAUAAGGCCUUUCUGAGAGCAGAGGAGGCCCCUAGCUGCUUCACCUUGGGAGCCUCUGCCAGACAAGACCAACAGCCGUCUGACAUGGCUCCUCCUGGAUGUAAAGCUACUUUUCUUUCUGACUCGAAGAGGAGGAGGAGACGUAGGAAUCCUAUUAUGGUACAGCCGCCUGGAAUAAAUCAAUGGGAAGGCCAUCUAAUAACAGUAAAUACCUACUUUGAAAAAGGAAGGCCAGUGUAAGAGUUUCAGCUCUUCCUCUCUUCUAAGAUGUAACCGACGUUCACUGUUUACAAAAUGGCUACUUUAUCUAGAGACUCGGUCCAAAGUGGCAUGUGGUGAGCAGCAGAUAUAGGGAGACUGGUGCCGUUGGUCUUCAAAGGAAUAACGGUCCCUAUAGGAAUGGAUGUGGUUGUCUUGUUUGUUUGUCGGAAUGUAACAAAUGACUGCUCUGAAAGGGGAAUAAUCUGCUCAGAGGUCAAUGCUGUAAAUUAAAAUAAUAAGUGUGAAUUAUUUUUGAUAAGUAAAUUGUACAAUAUAUCAUGAGAUUGCUUCCAUAGGUUACAUGUUUUGUUUGAAGGACCUACAACAUACAGAACCACAGAAACAAAACUAAACAAUCCGGUUUUUUUACACAAGCCCUCUCUAAUGAAAUCUUAAACCUAAGUUUUAGUCACACUAAAGCGAUAUGAAGAAAAAAUUAAGAUAUUUUGAUUCUAAUGGAAUAAAGAGAUGAGACAACAAAGAAUUCGAAA